CCAACUGCCGCUGCCCGCCGCCCGCACCCGCCGCACCCCUUCUGCUGAGCUUCAGCCUGCCCUGCACUGUCGGUCAGAUGCGGCGCAGCGUGACAUCAUGAAGAAGAGCCUAAGACUGAAGAGAUAGGAGUCAGGACAGCCAGGAACAGCGUGGGCGAGAGAGCAGAGAGGAGGACUCAGUCAGGACAGAUUUGGAAAGGGAAAAGCUGUCUGGUUAUAAUAAAGCUGUUUUAUGUGAUAAGAUUGUGGUUGCUGCAUCUGGAGAGAUGGAACAUUUCCACUGAACCAAGCAUUCAAUCAGCAAUGACAGUAGCUUUUAUCUGUCUAGUGCACGUUACGCAUUGAAAAUAACAUGGGCAAUUAAAAGAAUAUGCCCCAACAUGUAUCAUGCUACUUUUGGUCAUGUACAGGUCUACUGGUCAAGAAAAGAAGAGAAAGAGAGUUACUCAGAAACUAUGACUAUUAGAAAUCGCUGACAUUCCUGUGACCAUCCCAUUCAGCAAAACACAGGAGACCAUAAUAACACUCGGCAGGACCUGCUAGCACUUGGUGGAAAUACAUCAGAUGAUGGAACACACUGAACUGUGAAGCUAAACUCUGGAUUCUGUAGACUGGAACUUAGCAGGCAGUAUACAGCAGAAGUUGUUCUGGCAAUGAGUAGUGGCCAUGGAGAGACAUGUAGAGUAAUCUCUGGCUGGUGGAGCUUGAACUGGAUUUAGACUAUGCUAGAAUCUCUAAUUAAACUAGUUCCCCAAACACUGCAACUCAGGACCACUAUGUGGCCUCUCCUCAUCUCUGCCAUGAUAACACCAGGACCAAUGCCUACUACUCUUCUGUCCAAGAAUAUCAUGACUGCCCGAGGGACUACCCCUCAAGCUGAGCAGGGAACUGAGGGGUGUGCACACCAGGACCAGACUUUGCUGGGUCAUUGCCAUUGGACAUUAGUGUGCUCCCCACAUACUUACACCCUCCCGCACUGCUCUAGUACAGUUUUCCUGCAAUGUGUUUUUCUCUUCUCUUUCUUCUUACAGCGUACUUCCACCCCACUGUGUGCUAUUUCUGUAAUGUUUACCUCCAUUGGUUGCACACCCUGUCAGCAGUAACCUACACAGUGCGCCCCACAUGGCUGCCUUGGAUGGUUCCUCCGUGGGCAACAUGUGCUUCAUUUGGAUCUUUCCAUGCAGGGUAUAGCAUACUCCUACACACGUAUCAGUUUUCCCAAACUUGCAUUUGGCCCUUAUAUGGCUCAUCUUCCACUGUGUAACCUUCGUAGUGUGCCCAACAUGGCUUCCUUAUCUAUUGCGCUUGUGGAUGGGAUGAAAAAUACAUGGAACUGAUGGUUUUGUUGGAACCCUACUCUGAACUUUAGGACUCUGCAAUCUCCCCAUUUUAUGAUAUCUCUUCUAGGGGUGGACUAUUCCACCCUGGAUAAUCCUAUGCAGUGCGCCUAAGAUGGCUGCCGCACCUGGUACCUUGUGAGGGUGGAAUACACAACCCUUGGAGGUUAUUACCCAAAGUGCCUACACCAAUCAUGCAUUAUGCUUUCUGUGUGCUCAAGGUUUUUUUUUUAUGUCUGUGUUGUUUAUCUUUUGAUGUAUUACUUAAAUCUUCUGUAUAAUGUGCAUUAUUUGAGUUCAAGUUGGUGCCGCAGAUGGCUGCCUCAGUGCUGCUCUGCCAAUCAGCCUUCGUUUUUAGUCUUACAUGCAUAAUAUGUCUAAUAUGUCUAGUCUAUCGUACAGUUGCAAUGGGCAGUAUGAACUCAUACGUGUAAUGUUUGUAAUGUAUGCUACGUUUUCCCCCCUUCUUAUGCUAUGUAUUCCCCCUUCAUGUUGCUGCUUGGCAAUACAUUGCACCACAAAAAACUCCUAGGGUACAUGAGUACACCUGGCCAAUAAAGCUGAUUCUGAUUCUGCUGAUAGGUCACUGUAAUUAUGUGCAGGGUAUCAGAUCGAGGAAGAGAGGUCAGCUGACCUCAGGCAUUAUGGCGAUGCCAAGAAAGAAACAAACAACUACUGGCAGCAGCACAACAUGGGACACAUCCAGACACCUUGGGAAGCAGGUGCAAGGCAAGGAAGCAGCAGUGCCAGGUUGCCUACGUUUCACAGGUUACUGCAGUACAUCAUCUACGUAAGGCAAGGUGGGAAAACACUGUAAAGUCAGAAUAAAAAGGUGCUUCUCCUUGUUGGUGAUAUGAGGGUAUUAUAUUAAAAUGCUAAUGCUGAAUGUGAUGUAUAGACCAAUUAUACAUCAAUUAUUAUUCUUCUAUAAUGCAUGAUCUACAAAAACCUUUUCUGUUCUUGUUCAGUAAUUAAUUAAGCUUUCAGAAUUUGGGUGUUCUGGAAAUAACCACACAAAGCCACUAUUUACUCUUGUAUACCAAUGCAGGAUCUGUGGAG